CCUACGGGGUGCAGCAGUGAGGAAUAUUGGUCAAUGGACGAGAGUCUGAACCAGCCAAGUAGCGUGAAGGAUUACUGCCCUAUGGGUUGUACACUUCUUUUAUACAAGAAUAAAACGAGGCAAGUGUGCCUUUUUGCAUGUACUUUAUGAAUAAGGAUCGGCUAACUCAGUGCCAUCAGCCGCGUUAAUACGGAGGAUCCGAGCGUUAUCCGGAUUUAUUGGGUUUAAAGUGAGCGUAGAUGGGUUGUUAAGUCAGUUGUGAAAGUUUGCGGCUCAACCGUAAAAUUGCAAUUGAUACUGGCAGUCUUGAGUACAGUUGAGGUAAGCGGAAUUCGUGGUGUAGCGGUGAAAUGCUUAGAUAUCACGAAGAACCCCGAUUGCGAAGGCAGCUUACUAAACUGUGACUGACAUUGAUGCUCGAAAGUGUGGGUAUCAAACAGGAUUAGAUACCCCAGUAGUC
rnacentral:rRNA from 1 species